rnacentral:rRNA from 1 species
GACGAACGCUGGCGGCGUGCCUAACACAUGCAAGUCGAACGGAAGGGCCAGUAGCGUGGUACUCGUGUGGCGACCGCGGGAGUAAGACGUUAGCAACCUGCCCUUGCCUUCGGGACAACUUCAGGAACCUGGGGCUAAUACCGCCAACGAAUCCUAACUGCAUCCGGGGGGUUCGAAAGCUUCGGAGGUUUUGGCUGGACUCGCGGCCUAUCUGCUCGUUGGUGGGGUAGUGGCUUACCGAGGCUUUGACGGGUAGCCGGCCUGAGAGGGCGACCGGCCACACUGGGACUGAGGUACGGCACAGACUCCUACGGGAGGCAGCAGUGGGGAAUAUUGCACAAUGGACGCAAGCUUGAUGCAGCAACGCUGCGUGAGGGAAGACGGACUUCGGGUUGUAGACCGCUUUCAGCAGGGGCUGUGCAGGUGGUGACGGUACCUGCUGAAGAAGCCACGGCUAACUACGUG